GACGAACGCUGGCGGCGUGCUUAACACAUGCAAGUCGAACGAUGAUGGAGAGCUUGCUCUUCGGAUUAGUGGCGAACGGGUGAGUAACACGUGAGCAAUCUGCCCUUGACUCUGGGAUAAGCGUUGGAAACGACGUCUAAUACCGGAUACGACCCUUGGAGGCAUCUCUGGGGGGUGGAAAGAAUUUUGGUCAGGGAUGAGCUCGCGGCCUAUCAGCUAGUUGGUGAGGUAAUGGCUCACCAAGGCGACGACGGGUAGCCGGCCUGAGAGGGUGACCGGCCACACUGGGACUGAGACACGGCCCAGACUCCUACGGGAGGCAGCAGUGGGGAAUAUUGCACAAUGGGCGAAAGCCUGAUGCAGCAACGCCGCGUGAGGGACGACG
rnacentral:rRNA from 1 species